GGUGCUUCUACAUUUGUGUGUGUCCAUGCGUUUUUGUGUUUGUGCAUGUGAGAGAGAGAGAGUGUGUGUGUGUUAUUGGCUCUGGUAGUGUGUGUGAUGGCUUCACCGGAACACUGUGGGGAUUCUGGACAUCUCUCCAAGCCUGCAUCACACAGAGAGAAAAACGGCAGGAGAUGCUGAUUGGCUAAUGUUUCGUAGUGACAUUUUACUGGCAGGCGGUCAGGACGUUACAUCACCGUCGACUGUGUGGACACAAACUGGUAUUAUUUCUGUCGCUGUUUCUAACGCGUCCUAAUCUGAAUCCCAAAUAGCACCAAUCUCCUUCUUUUGACCAGAGACCCUAUAUAAAAUAGUGCCGUACUUUUGACCAGAGACCCUAUAUAAAGUAGUGCACUACUUUUAACCAGAGACCCUAUAUAAAGUAGUGCCGUACUUUUGACCAGAGACCCUAUAUAAGGUUGUGCACUACUUUUAACCAGAGACCCUAUAUAAAGUAGUGCCGUACUUUUGACCAGAGACCCUAUAUAAGGUAGUGCACUACUUUUGACCAGAGACCCUAUAUAAAAUAGUGUACUACUUUUGACCAGAGACCCUAUAUAAAACAGUGCAAACUUUCACUUUUGACCAGAGUCCCUAUAUAGUGCACUACUUUUGGCCAGAUUCCUAUGGGCUGUAUAGGGAAUGCUGUGCCAUUUGAGACACACAUGGUAAUGUCAUAUUCAGCCGCAGGUCUGACUCAUACUCUCUCCUUCCACCCCCUCCACCCUUCUCUCUCUCACUCUCUCUCCCUCCCAUCCACUCUCAUCCCCUCUCGCUCACCCUCUCUCAUCCCAUUCUAUCUCUCUUUCCCACCCUUUCUCUCCCUUCUCACAUUGUCACAGCAGGGCAGAUGUUCAGGCAGGGCAGAGGUAGAGUUGAGGCAGGGCAGAGGUAGAGUUGAGGCAGGGCAGAGGUGGGGUUGAGGCAGGGCAGAGGUAGAGUUGAGGCAGG
rnacentral:lncRNA from 1 species